GAGGACUGCAUCUGGACAAGUGUCACAGUAGUUAAGAUGAGGGGACUGCAUCUGGACUUGGAGUACUCUGGCAAGUCACUCCAAUCUCUGCUCAGGCGUCACAUUCUGCAUACAAUGGCACCUCCUAACAGAUGAAAUGAUGGCAUAGGCAUGCAAUCUGCAAAAUCCAUACUGCAGGAUAUUCUAGGGGACAAAUGACCUGGCCAUUUCAACAAAAACCUGCAAGAAACAAAAACAAAGAAAGGAAAUGGAAGCUUCAUAAAGGCAAGACCUUCAUCUUAUUCACAGCAGCUGAUUCUAUCACCUUGUAUGGCACCUGACACAUAGAAG